rnacentral:rRNA from 1 species
UGUUCUUUGGAUUAAUAUGAAGAAUAAGGUCUGCUCUAUGAUUUAAAAUUUAAUGGCCGCAGUAUCUUGACUGUGCGAAGGUAGCAUAAUCAAUUGUCUCUUAAUUAGGGUCUGGUAUGAAUGAUUUUAUGAAAGGCUAGCUGUUUUUAUUAAGAAAAUGAAUUUAGAUGUUAGGUGAAGAUUCUUAAAUGACUGUAAAAGACGAGAAGACCCCAUUAAGUUUCAUAUGGUACUUGUUUUAAGGUGGUGUAACAGGUUAAAAUAUUUGGUUGGGGCAAUUGCAGGAUAAGAUUAACUUCUGUGGAAUAUAAAUAUUUUGUGUAAAUUUGUUAUGAUCCAAGUGUUUGACUUUUAGAAAAAAUUACUAUGGGGAUAACAGCGUAAUUUUCUUAUAGAGUUCUUAUCGAUGAGAAAGAUUGCGACCUCGAUGUUGGAUUAAGAUUCCUUUUUGGUGUAGCCGCUUGAAGAGGCAGUCUGUUCGACUGU